UACGUAGGGUGCAAGCGUUACUCGGAAUUACUGGGCGUAAAGCGUGCGCAGGCGGUGAUGUAAGACAGGUGUGAAAUCCCCGGGCUUAACCUGGGAACUGCAUUUGUGACUGCAUCGCUGGAGUGCGGCAGAGGGGGAUGGAAUUCCGCGUGUAGCAGUGAAAUGCAUAGAUAUGCGGAGGAACACCGAUGGCGAAGGCAAUCCCCUGGGCCUGCACUGACGCUCAUGCACGAAAGCGUGGGGAGCAAACAGG
rnacentral:rRNA from 1 species